AGAUUGAACGCUGGCGGCAGGCCUAACACAUGCAAGUCGAGCGGUAGAGAGGUGCUUGCAUCUCUUGAGAGCGGCGGACGGGUGAGUAAUGCCUAGGAAUCUGCCUAGUGGGUGGGGGAUAACGUUCGGAAACGGACGCUAAUACCGCAUACGUCCUACGGGAGAAAGGCGGGGGACCUUCGGGCCUCGCGCCAUUAGAUGAGCCUAGGGUCGGAUUAGCUAGUUGGUGAGGUAAUGGCUCACCAAGGCGACGAUCCGUAACUGGUCUGAGAGGAUGAUCAGUCACACUGGAACUGAGACACGGU
rnacentral:rRNA from 1 species